rnacentral:rRNA from 1 species
GAGCAGGGACGAAAGUCGGGACUAGUGAUCCGGCAGUGGCUUGUGGAAGCGCUGUCGCUCAACGGAUAAAAGGUACCCCGGGGAUAACAGGCUGAUCUUCCCCAAGAGUCCAUAUCGACGGGAUGGUUUGGCACCUCGAUGUCGGCUCGUCGCAUCCUGGGGCUGGAGUCGGUCCCAAGGGUUGGGCUGUUCGCCCAUUAAAGCGGUACGCGAGCUGGGUUUAGAACGUCGUGAGACAGUUCGGUCCCUAUCCGCUGUGCGCGUAGGAAUAUUGAGAAGGGCUGUCCCUAGUACGAGAGGACCGGGACGGACGAACCUCUGGUGUGCCAGUUGUCCUGCCAAGGGCAUGGCUGGUUGGCUACGUUCGGAAAGGAUAACCGCUGAAAGCAUCUAAGCGGGAAGCCUGCUUCGAGAUGAGUAUUCCCACCAACUUGAUUGGUUAAGGCUCCCAGUAGACGACUGGGUUGAUAGGCCAGAUGUGGAAGCCCGGUAACGGGUGGAGCUGACUGGUACUAAUAGGCCGAGGGCUUGUCCUCAGUUG